AUUGAACGCUGGCGGCAUGCCUUACACAUGCAAGUCGAACGGCAGCGGGGGAGAAGCUUGCUUUUCCUGCCGGCGAGUGGCGAACGGGUGAGUAAUACAUCGGAACGUGCCCUGUAGUGGGGGAUAACUAGUCGAAAGAUUAGCUAAUACCGCAUACGACCUGAGGGUGAAAGUGGGGGACCGCAAGGCCUCAUGCUAUAGGAGCGGCCGAUGUCUGAUUAGCUAGUUGGUGGGGUAAAGGCCUACCAAGGCGACGAUCAGUAGCUGGUCUGGGAGGACGAUCGGCCAAACUGGGACUGAGACACGGCCCAGACUCCUACGGGAGGCAGCAGUGGGGAAUUUUGGACAAUGGGCGAAAGCCUGAUCCAGCAAUGCCGCGUGUGUGAAGAAGGCCUUCGGGUUGUAAAGCACUUUUGUCCGGAAAGAAAUGGCUCUGGUUAAUACCUGGGGUCGAUGACGGUACCGGAGGAAUAAGGACCGGCUAACUACGUGCCAGCCGCCGCCGUAA
rnacentral:rRNA from 1 species